UCCCAGUGGGCUCAGCGGUAAAGAAUCUGCCUUCCAAGCAGGAGACGCAAGUUCGAUCCUUGGGUUGGGAA
rnacentral:tRNA from 1 species